AGGUCUUGGUCUUAAACCUCAUAUUACCUAAAAAUCAUUUAUUUAUACAUGCAAGCCUCACCACGACGGUGAAACAGCCACAAUAAACCUAGAGCCGGCAUCAGCCAUUCGCCAUGACGCCAAGCAACAGCCACACCCCCACGGGCAACACAGCAGUAGUUAACAUUAGGCCAUAAGUGAAAACUUGACCAAGCAAAAUGAAUAAAGAGCCGGUUAAUCUCGUGCCAGCGACCGCGGUUACACGAUAGGCCCAAGAUAAUAUUAACGGCGUAAAAAUGACUAAAUAUUAACAGUCCUAAUUUAGGGAAGAAACCAAACUGGGCUGUAAAAAGCCAUAAGUCACAUUAAUUCCCCCCCCUAAUUUCACACAACUUUGACUCAUGAAAGCUAGGAUACAAACUAAGAUUAGAUACCCUACUAUGCCUAGCCGUAACACACAAUUAAACUACCAAUUGCCCGCCAAACAACUACGAGUCAUACUUAAAACUUAAAAGACUUGACGGUACUUCAUCACGCCCUAGAGGAGCCUGUCUAAUAACCGACAAUCCACGAUUAACCCCACCCUUUCUCGCCCAACAGUCUAUAUACCGCCGUCGCCAGCUUACCUUGUAAAAGAAAUAAAGUAAGCUAAACAGUACUACACUAAAACGACAGGUCGAGGUGUAACCCAUGAAAGGGACCAAGAUGGGCUACAUUCUCAAACCAAGAAUACGAACAGCACUACGAAACUAAUGCCCGAAGGCGGAUUUAGCAGUAAGAUAGGGAUAAAACACCUAACUGAACAUAACGCAAUGAAGUGCGUACACACCGCCCGUCAUCCCUGCCACCACAACAAUUAAUCUUAAUAAACCGACCCCAAAUAACCAAGCAGGGCAAGUCGUAACAUGGUAAGUGUACUGGAAAGUGUACUUAGAAA
rnacentral:ncRNA from 1 species